rnacentral:snoRNA from 1 species
UUAGAGAUGACAAAAGUUGUCCUCACUGAGAUCAUAGCAUGAUGAGAAUCUUGCUUUUGUACUUAUCAUCUGAGCCAAA